rnacentral:rRNA from 1 species
GACGAACGCUGGCGGCGUGCCUAAUACAUGCAAGUAGAACGCACAGGAUGCACCGUAGUUUACUACACCGUAUUCUGUGAGUUGCGAACGGGUGAGUAACGCGUAGGUAACCUGCCUGGUAGCGGGGGAUAACUAUUGGAAACGAUAGCUAAUACCGCAUAAGAACAUUUACUGCAUGGUAGAUGUUUAAAAGGUGCAAAUGCAUCACUACCAGAUGGACCUGCGUUGUAUUAGCUAGUAGGUGAGGUAACGGCUCACCUAGGCGACGAUACAUAACCGACCUGAGAGGGUGAUCGGCCACACUGGGACUGAGACACGGCCCAGACUCCUACGGGAGGCAGCAGUAGGGAAUCUUCGGCAAUGGGGGGAACCCUGACCGAGCAACGCCGCGUGAGUGAAGAAGGUUUUCGGAUCGUAAAGCUCUG